UUUUUUUUUUUUUUUUUUUGGCUCAGAAUUUAUAUGUUUAGUUAUACAAUAAAGUGUUAUCAACUACAGUCACAGAAAGCCUUGCCAGCUCCAUAUUAACUCAGGACCAUGUCCUGCUAACUUGAGAUUGAACGGCACCACUCCCUUCCUCCUCCUCUCCAUCAUCUUUACUGCCUGAUUUCCUUCUGUUUUGGCUUUUUUCCUGAGGUUUUCCUGAAAAGCUCCCUUGUCCUAUGUUCUAAGAAAGAAUAAUAGCAAAGAGAAUGGAAAAUAGGAUUGGAAGCCUGAAUAAAGAUGAAAAAAAGAAUUUUGAGGUUUCCUCAGCUUUUUAACCUCAGGUUCUAUUUCUGUGGAUAGCCAGAAGUGAGUGGCCAUUCUAGAAAGACUACAAAGUGCAAAAAUACUAGGAAGAGAGAGAACAUCAGAGAGAUGCUAGAAGAGACUCUCAUCUCAACUUCUUCUUUCAUCUAAUCUCUUUUCACAACUCAUCUGCAGUGGCCUUUACACUCCUGGUGGGAUGGAACCCUUGGGAAGCUCAGAAGAGGUAAAAGGGACAAAUGGCAUAAUGUAAAAUUCCAUUUAAAAAACAAACCCAAACCCAAAAAAACCUCCCCAGGGCCUCUAGAUUCAUUGCUCAAGUAUUUUCCACUGCACCCCACCCACUCUCUGAGGCCAAACACACACCACCAGGCCACCCCACACCUGAACUUCUGGUUGAUCCAGAAGAGCACUAGAAGUUUGGGGGCAGGGCCAGAAAUCCAGCACAGCCCCAGGCAGUGGGCUCAGCUGCCACCUCUACUUGCUGGGAAUGUAUUGUCCCCAAAACACCCAAUCCCUGAAAGUUAGGUACAGAGGCAGCCAGGAAUUUCACAAGCAACUGGGAUUGGCAACAGGGCUCACCCACCUUCCUGCUGGGCUCUGGUCUUGGCUAUGAAAAAGGGUGCAAGAGUCUCUUGACCCUGUGUCCUAACUUCCAAUUAAACCAGAAGCUGGACAUUCAGGGAAGAGCCAGGAAUGUGGCCGACCAGGUGUGGGGACAUUACUGCCACAGCUUCCAUCAUGGCCCAGAAGCAGAAUCCAGGCCACACACGUGUGUUUGUUGAACAGGAACAUUCUGAGAUUGUUUAAAAAGAAAAUCUUCUGUUCCAGACUUUGAACAAUAAUGGUUGCCAUUUGCUGAGCGCUUACUAUAUAUGGGCUAACUCUCCAUGUAAUAGAUCAUUUAAUUCUAAUAAUCUUAUGCAGUAGAUACCAUAAUUAUCUCCCUUUUCCAUACUAGGAAAUGAGAAUUUAGAAGAGGAGAGCAACUUGAUUCAAGCUAUUGAAGAGGCAAAUCCAGGAUUCCAUUCCAGGUAUAUUUGACUCCACAUUUUAAAAUAUAUCUCAUUGUUUUCUUUUUCUUGUUUUUUUCUUUUUUUGGUUGUUGUUAAACUACAGUUGACACAUAAUGUUACAUUAGUUUCAGGUGUAAAA
rnacentral:lncRNA from 1 species